UACGUAGGGGGCGAGCGUUGUCCGGAUUCAUUGGGCGUAAAGCGCGCGCAGGCGGCCCGCUCAGUCGGCCGUGAAAGCGCCGGGCUCAACUCGGCGAGGUCGGGCGAUACUGGCGGGUUCGAGGCUGGUAGAGGGCGGUGGAAUUCCGGGUGUAGUGGUGGAAUGCGUAGAGCUCCGGAGGAACACCAGUGGCGAAGGCGGCCGCCUGGGCCAGUCCUGACGCUGAGCCGCGAAAGCGUGGGGAGCGAUCCGG
rnacentral:rRNA from 1 species